rnacentral:piRNA from 1 species
UGAGCUCCAAGUAGGUAGUAUCAGGGU